UUGAAGAGUUUGAUCAUGGCUCAGAUUGAACGCUGGCGGCAGGCCUAACACAUGCAAGUCGAGCGGUAGCACAGAGAGCUUGCUCUCGGGUGACGAGCGGCGGACGGGUGAGUAAUGUCUGGGAAACUGCCUGAUGGAGGGGGAUAACUACUGGAAACGGUAGCUAAUACCGCAUAACGUCGCAAGACCAAAGUGGGGGACCUUCGGGCCUCAUGCCAUCAGAUGUGCCCAGAUGGGAUUAGCUAGUAGGUGGGGUAACGGCUCACCUAGGCGACGAUCCCUAGCUGGUCUGAGAGGAUGACCAGCCACACUGGAACUGAGACACGGUCCAGACUCCUACGGGAGGCAGCAGUGGGGAAUAUUGCACAAUGGGCGCAAGCCUGAUGCAGCCAUGCCGCGUGUGUGAAGAAGGCCUUCGGGUUGUAAAGCACUUUCAGCGGGGAGGAAGGCGUUAAGGUUAAUAACCUUGGCGAUUGACGUUACCCGCAGAAGAAGCACCGGCUAACUCCGUGCCAGCAGCCGCGGUAAUACGGAGGGUGCAAGCGUUAAUCGGAAUUACUGGGCGUAAAGCGCACGCAGGCGGUCUGUCAAGUCGGAUGUGAAAUCCCCGGGCUCAACCUGGGAACUGCAUUCGAAACUGGCAGGCUAGAGUCUUGUAGAGGGGGGUAGAAUUCCAGGUGUAGCGGUGAAAUGCGUAGAGAUCUGGAGGAAUACCGGUGGCGAAGGCGGCCCCCUGGACAAAGACUGACGCUCAGGUGCGAAAGCGUGGGGAGCAAACAGGAUUAGAUACCCUGGUAGUCCACGCCGUAAACGAUGUCGAUUUGGAGGUUGUGCCCUUGAGGCGUGGCUUCCGGAGCUAACGCGUUAAAUCGACCGCCUGGGGAGUACGGCCGCAAGGUUAAAACUCAAAUGAAUUGACGGGGGCCCGCACAAGCGGUGGAGCAUGUGGUUUAAUUCGAUGCAACGCGAAGAACCUUACCUGGUCUUGACAUCCACAGAACUUUSCAGAGAUGSWUUGGUGCCUUCGGGAACUGUGAGACAGGUGCUGCAUGGCUGUCGUCAGCUCGUGUUGUGAAAUGUUGGGUUAAGUCCCGCAACGAGCGCAACCCUUAUCCUUUGUUGCCAGCGGUUAGGCCGGGAACUCAAAGGAGACUGCCAGUGAUAAACUGGAGGAAGGUGGGGAUGACGUCAAGUCAUCAUGGCCCUUACGACCAGGGCUACACACGUGCUACAAUGGCAUAUACAAAGAGAAGCGACCUCGCGAGAGCAAGCGGACCUCAUAAAGUAUGUCGUAGUCCGGAUUGGAGUCUGCAACUCGACUCCAUGAAGUCGGAAUCGCUAGUAAUCGUAGAUCAGAAUGCUACGGUGAAUACGUUCCCGGGCCUUGUACACACCGCCCGUCACACCAUGGGAGUGGGUUGCAAAAGAAGUAGGUAGCUUAACCUUCGGGAGGGCGCUUACCACUUUGUGAUUCAUGACUGGGGUGAAGUCGUAACAAGGUAACCGUAGGGGAACCUGCGGUUGGAUCACCUCCUU
rnacentral:rRNA from 1 species